UACGUAGGGGGCAAGCGUUGUCCGGAUUUAUUGGGCGUAAAGAGCGUGUAGGCGGCCAGACAGGUCCGUUGUGAAAACUCGAGGCUCAACCUCGAGACGUCGAUGGAAACCGUCGGGCUAGAGUCCGGAAGAGGAGAGUGGAAUUCCUGGUGUAGCGGUGAAAUGCGCAGAUAUCAGGAGGAACGCCCGUGGCGAAAGCGGCUCCCUGGGACGGUACUGACGCUGAGACGCGAAAGCGUGGGGAGCGAACAGG
rnacentral:rRNA from 1 species